rnacentral:tRNA from 1 species
AUUUAAGUAGUUUAAUUAAAAUAUUAAUUUGUGAGGUUAAAGAUAUAAAUUAUAUUAUCUUAAAUU